rnacentral:rRNA from 1 species
UUGGAGGGCAAGUCUGGUGCCAGCAGCCGCGGUAAUUCCAGCUCCAAUAGCGUAUAUUAAAGUUGUUGCAGUUAAAAAGCUCGUAGUUGAAUUUCGGGAUCAAUGUUUCGGUCAUGCCGUUGGUAUGUACUGAUAUUAUUGGUUUCUCACCUUCUAAAGAACCGUAAUGCCAUUAAUUUGGUGUCACGGGGAAUUAGGACUGUUACCUUGAAAAAAUUAGAGUGUUUAAAGCAGGCUCACGCUUGAAUACAUUAGCAUGGAAUAAUGAAAUAGGACAUCCGAUUCUAUUUUGUUGGUUUCUAGGAUCGAUGUAAUGAUUAAUAGGGAUAGUUGGGGGCAUUAGUAUUCAAUUGUCAGAGGUGAAAUUCUUGGAUUUAUUGAAGACUAACUACUGCGAAAGCAUUUGCCAAGGAUGUUUUCAUUAAUCAAGAACGAAAGUUAGGGGAUCGAAGACGAUCAGAUACCGUCGUAGCCUUAACCAUAAACUAUGCCGACUAGGGAUCGGAUGAUGUUAAUUUUUUAAUGACUCAUUCGGCGCCUUACGGGAAAC